UACGUAGGGCGCAAGCGUUAUCCGGAAUUAUUGGGCCUAAAGCAUCCGUAGCCGGUUCUACAAGUCUUCCGUUAAAUCCAACUGCUUAACAGGUGGGCUGCGGAAGAUACUAUAGAGCUAGGAGGCGGGAGAGGCAAGCGGUACUCGAUGGGUAGGGGUAAAAUCCGUUGAUCCAUUGAAGACCACCAGUGGCGAAGGCGGCUUGCCAGAACGCGCUCGACGGUGAGGGAUGAAAGCUGGGGGAGCAAACCGG
rnacentral:rRNA from 1 species